rnacentral:rRNA from 1 species
UACGUAGGGGGCAAGCGUUGUCCGGAAUCAUUGGGCGUAAAGAGCGUGUAGGCGGCCCGGUAAGUCCGCUGUGAAAGUCCAGGGCUCAACCCUGGGAUGCCGGUGGAUACUGUCGGGCUCGAGUCCGGAAGAGGAGAGUGGAAUUCCCGGUGUAGCGGUGAAAUGCGCAGAUAUCGGGAAGAACACCCGUGGCGAAGGCGGCUCUCUGGGACGGUACUGACGCUGAGACGCGAAACGUGGG